rnacentral:rRNA from 1 species
AGCUCCAAUAGCGUAUAUUAAAGUUGUUGCAGUUAAAAAGCUCGUAGUUGGAUUUCUGUGAAGGCUCUCGCGCCGGCUCGACGCCAGUGUGCAGGAACCUUUACAUCCUUCUGAUAGCUGGGCUCGCAUUUAUUUGUGGGUUCAGGCUCAGAUAUUUUACCUUGAGAAAAUUAGAGUGUUUCAGGCAGGCUUUGCUCGGAAUACAUUAGCAUGGAAUAAUGGAAUAGGACUGCAGCGUCUUUCGGGGCGCCGGUCUCUGUUGUUGGUUUCAGGGACUAAAGUAAUGAUUAAUAGGGAUAGUUGGGGGCAUCAGUAUUUAAUAGUCAGAGGUGAAAUUCUCGGAUUUGUUAAAGACUAACUUAUGCGAAAGCAUUUGCCAAGGAUGUUUUCAUUAAUCAAG